AGUGAACGCUGGCGGUAGGCCUAACACAUGCAAGUCGAACGGCAGCACAGUAAGAGCUUGCUCUUACGGGUGGCGAGUGGCGGACGGGUGAGGAGUACAUCGGAAUCUACUUUUUCGUGGGGGAUAACGUAGGGAAACUUACGCUAAUACCGCAUACGACCUACGGGUGAAAGCAGGGGAUCUUCGGACCUUGCGCGAUUGAAUGAGCCGACGUCGGAUUAGCUAGUCGGCGGGGUAAAGGCCCACCAAGGCGACGAUCCGUAGCUGGUCUGAGAGGAUGAUCAGCCACACUGGAACUGAGACACGGUCCAGACUCCUACGGGAGGCAGCAGUGGGGAAUAUUGGACAAUGGGCGCAAGCCUGAUCCAGCCAUACCGCGUGGGUGAAGAAGGCCUUCGGGUUGUAAAGCCCUUUUGUUGGGAAAGAAAAGCAGCAGGUUAAUACCCCGCUGUUCUGACGGUACCCAAAGAAUAAGCACCGGCUAACUUCGUG
rnacentral:rRNA from 1 species